rnacentral:sRNA from 1 species
GCCAGGUGCAGUGGCACAUGCCUGUAAUCCCUGCCACUCGGGAGGCUGAGACAGGAGGAUCAUGGUUCACAGCCAGCCUCAGCAACAGCAAGGCGCUAAGCAACUCAGUGAGACCCUGUCUCUA